CUCCGGUUGAUCCCGCCGGACCCGACUGCUAUCAGAGUGAGAUUAAGCCAUGCGAGUCAACGUAGCAAUACGUGGCACACGGCUCAGUAACACGUAGUCAACAUAACCAAAGGACGUGGAUAAACUCGGGAAACUGAGGCUAAACCGCGAUAGAUCAAGAUAUCUGGAAUGGUUUUUGAUCGAAAUCUAUAUGGCCUUUGGAUUGGACUGCGUCCGAUCAGGCUGUUGGUGAGGUAAUGGCCCACCAAACCUGUAACCGGUACGGGCUCUGAGAGGAGGAGCCCGGAGAUGGGUACUGAGAAAAGGACCCAGGCCCUAUGGGGCGCAGCAGGCGCGAAACCUCUGCAAUAGGCGAAAGCCUGACAGGGUUACUCUGAGUGACUUUCGCUAAGAAAGUCUUUUGACAUCUCUAAAAAUGGUGUAGAAUAAGGGGUGGGCAAGUCUGGUGUCAGCCGCCGCGGUAAUACCAGCACCCCGAGUGGUCGGGACGAUUAUUGGGCCUAAAGCAUCCGUAGCCGGUUUUACAAGUCCUCCGUUAAAUCCAGCUGCUUAACAGAUGGGCUGCGGAGGAUACUAUAAGACUAGGAGGCAGGAGAGGCAAGCGGUACUCAGUGGGUAGGGGUAAAAUCCGUUGAUCCAUUGAAGACCACCAGUGGCGAAGGCGGCUUGCCAGAAUGCGCUCGACGGUGAGGGAUGAAAGCUGGGGGAGCAAACCGGAUUAGAUACCCGGGUAGUCCCAGCUGUAAACGAUGCAGACUCGGUGAUGGACUAGCUUUAUGCUAGUCCAGUGCCGCAGGGAAGCCGUUAAGUCUGCCGCCUGGGUAGUACGGUCGCAAGACUGAAACUUAAAGGAAUUGGCGGGGGAGCA
rnacentral:rRNA from 1 species